rnacentral:rRNA from 1 species
UACGUAGGGUGCAAGCGUUAAUCGGAAUUACUGGGCGUAAAGCGUGCGCAGGCGGUUUUGUAAGUCCGAUGUGAAAUCCCCGGGCUUAACCUGGGAACUGCAUUGGUGACUGCAAGGCUUGAGUGUGUCAGAGGGAGGUGGAAUUCCGCGUGUAGCAGUGAAAUGCGUAGAUAUGCGGAGGAACACCAAUGGCGAAGGCAGCCUUCUGGGCCAACACUGACGCUCAUGCACGAAAGCGUGGGGAGCAAACAGG